rnacentral:rRNA from 1 species
UGCGUAGGCGGACUAAUAAGUCAGUGGUGAAAUCUCUCGGCUCAACCGGGAAACUGCCAUUGAUACUGUUAGUCUUGAGUUCGGUUGAGGUAGGCGGAAUGUGUAAUGUAGCGGUGAAAUGCUUAGAUAUUACACAGAACACCAAUUGCGUAGGCAGCUUACUAGACCGACACUGACGCUGAGGCACGAAAGCGUGGGUAGCGAACAGGAUUAGAGACCCGAGUAGUCC